CACUUGCUUUUGUCUUUUCUCUGUUGAUUUGGCCCCAAAGCUGUCAGUUUGAUAUAAAUUCCUCUUAUCUCUUCCCUCCCUCCAUCCUUAAUUUAGGACUUCUCGGAAUUCUUUCCUUAUCGCUGGGCGCUCAUGAUUCCUUCCUCAGCCCUGGCAUCAAGAACUACCUCUCCAGCAUCUCUGCUCACUCCCCUCACUCACCCCUCCAGACGGCCUCACUGGAAAGGACCCGCGAUAACGCGGCCAGUUCCUUCUCAGCCUCUGGCUCCCAGGACAUAUUCUGUAGCUCCUUGCCAUGGACCAUUCAAAGAAAGAGACCCAAUGCAGUGUGGGCAAAGCAGGUGAUCGGUCAGUCUCCUGUAGCUCUCCAGAUUUCAAGCCCACUGUCUUGGUGGCUUGCUCAGGCAGCAAGAAGGAAUAUAACUGAAAGCAGUCCUGCGGGCAGUUUGAAGACUCUCUCACCACUGUUGAGUUAGAAGGUAGGGUUUCCCAGCAUGCCACCACAGUGGAGGGAGGAGUCUCGGCUUGGCACCCACCGCAUUUCUCCAAAGAAGAAUCUCCAUUGACCACUGCCCCCUCCUCCCCCUCCACCACCCCUUCCUCCUUUGGCUUCUCUCUCUCUUUCCUCUCUCUCCUCCUUUUUGAGGAUCCUUGAUCUAGCUGAGGGUUUGAGGAACUCUGGAAGAGAUUUAUUUAUUUAUUUAUUUAUUUUUUGACAGGCAGAGUGGACAGUGACAGAGAGACAGAGAGAAAGGUCUUCCUUUGCUGUUGGUUCACCCUCCAGUGGCCGCCGUGGCCAGCGCACUGCGCUGAUCCGAAGGCAGGAGCCAGGUACUUCUCCUGGUCUCCCAUGGGGUGCAGGGCCCAAGCACCUGGGCCAUCCUCCACUGCACUCCCUGGCCACAGCAGAGAGCUGGCCUGGAAGAGGGGCAACCGGGACAGAAUCCAGCGCCCCGACCGGGACUAGAACCCGGUGUGCCGGCGGCGCAGGCAGAGGAUUAGCCUAGUGAGCCGCAGCGCCAGCCUGGAAGAGAUUCUAAGACCAUUUUCUUUGUUGACCCUCUUAGGGAGAUCGGGCCCCUCUGGGAUUUCACAUCUGUUCUAUCUUGUUGAGUCUCAUUCUACAUUGAUUGUAUCCUGUUGGCCACUUCAGGGUUUUUUGUUGUUGUUGUUGUUGUUGUUUUACGAUUUAUUUAUUUAUUUGAAAGUCAGAGUUACACAGAGAGAGGAGAGGCAGAGAGAGAGAGAGAGAGGUCUUCCAUCCGCUGGUUCACUCCCCAGAUGGCCACAACGGACAGAGCUGCACUGAUCCAAAGCCAGGAGCCAGGAACUUCUUCCGGGUCUCCCACAUGGGUGCAGGGGCCCAAGGACUUGGGCCAUCUUCUACUGCUUUCCCAGGCCGCAGAAGAGAGCUGGAUUGGAAGAGGAGCAGCUGGGACUAGAACCAGCGCCCAUAUGGGAUGCCGGCACUUCAGGCCAGGGCGUUAACCCUCUGCGCCACAGCGCCUGCCCCAAACCUUCAGUUUUAACAACUCCCUUCACUUUGGAUAGCGUACUCAAAAUCACCAAAUCACCCAGGGAUUCUGUUUCACUAAGUAGCCUACCACCUGCUCUCCAAGACAUGCCUGAAGUUGCAGAGUUUGCAUUCACUUUCUCUCUCUCUCUCUCUCUUUUUUUUUUUUUUUAAGAUUUAUUUUAUUUAUUUGAAAGACAGAGUUACAGAGAGAGGUAGAGACAGAGAGAGAGGUCUUCCAUCUGCUAGUUCACUCCCCAGAUGGAUGCAACGGUCGGAGCUGCGCCUAUCCGAAGCCAGGAGCUUCCUCCGGGUCUCCUAUGCGGGUGCAGGGGCCCAAGGACUUGGACCAUCCUCCACUGCUUUCCUAGGCCAUAGCAGAGAGCUGGAUCAGAAGAGGAACAGCCGGGACUAGAACUAAUGCCCAUAUUGGAUGCCGGCGCUUCAGGCCAGGGCUUUAACCCACUGCACAGCGCCGGCCCCUGCAUUCACUUUCUUUCUCACUGCUCACUUAGUGGCAGUGUAACCUCAGGCAGGUUAACUUUUCUGUGCCUCAUUUCCUUAUCUGAGUAAUGGGCUCAAGAAGGGACUUAACUCACACAAUAGUCUUAAGGAUUAAAUGAGUUGACACCAGCAAAACACUUAGAACAGAACCUGACGUCUGGGCAGCUGGCAAUCAGCAGGCGUGAGCUGUUCUUAUUACUUUCUCCUCUUUCGUAAAGCAGCAGCAGCUCACUUCACUCUUGUUUGAUGACUUUGCCGUGGAUUUUACUGAGAGAAUAAGAGAGCCAGGUGGCCAGCACUGUGGUGUGUCAGGUAAAGCCGUAGCCUGUAGUGCCGGCAUCCCUUAUGGGCACUGGUUCGAGUCCCGGUUGCUCCACUUCUGGUCUAUCUCUCUGCUAUGGCCCAAGUCUUUGGGCCCUGCACCUGCAUGGGAGACCCGGAGGAUGCUCCUAGCUCUCUUUCUCUCUGCCUCUGCCUCUCUGUAAUUCUGCCUUUCAAAUAAAUAAAUAAAUCUUGUGUGUGUGUGUGUGUGUGUGUGUGAGAGAGAGAGAGAGAGAGAGAGAGAGAGAUGCGUCUGUACCUAAUUCUUCCUAUCCUUUGCCCAUGAAAGUGUCUUGGUCAACUCCUCCACCUGGCCUGUGCUCAGGGCUCUAUCCUGUUCAUCUUCCAGGAUUUCCCUCAUUUUACUCUUUCCAGAAUGAUUAAUCCCUCUGCCCUGUCCCCUAGCAGCAUCGAGACAUCUUUUAAAAGAAGAGCAAAGAAGCCAGACUCUUCUUCAACCCUACAAUUCUCGUCAGCUCUGAGAUGCAGGGUGGGAGCACACAAGAGAGCUUCAUAUUUCCCUUGUGGGAAUGCUGGGGGCAAAAUUUUCUAAUAGAUGAUGUCAAGUCCUAAGCAUAGACCUGGCUUAGAGCAAGCACAUAAGUGUUGGCUAUUACAGUCAGCCCUCCAUGUCUAGGUUUCCACAUUUAAGGAGUCAACCAGCCUUGGACCAAAAAUACUCAGAAAAAAUGCAUCUAUACUGAACAUGUACACACAUUUCUCCUGUUGAUAUUCCCUAAGCAAUACAGUACAGCUACUUACAUAGCAUUUACACUGUUAGGUAUUGUGAGUAAUUUGGAGGUGACUUAAAAUAUAAGGGAGGAUGUGUAUAGGUUACACACAAACUUGGCUAUAUUGUAUAUAUGGGACUUGAAUAUCUAAAGAUUUGGGUUUUCAGAAAGGAGUCCUAGAACAAAGGCCUCCUUGGAUGCCAGGGAACAACUACAUUAGCAUUGUUGUUGCUGCUGUUAUUAUAAAUUUUCAUUUCUGUGCUUGCUGAAAGGGAUUGGACCUUCUUAAAGAGAUAUUUUAGGCAACAAGUAUGGACUUAAUUUAAGCUACAGUCACACCAGGCUGGUGUUGUGGCAUAACAGGUAACAGUUUAUUUAUUUCUUUAUUUGAAAUGCUGAAUUACAGAGAGAGAGGGAGAGACAGAGAGAGAGAUCUUCCAUCUCCUGGUUCACUCCCCAGAUGGCCCUGUCAGGACCAGACCAAAGCCAGGAGCUUCAAACUGGUCUCCCACAUGGGUAGGAGGGGCCCAAACACUUGGGCCACCUUCCACAGCUUUUGCAAGCUCAUGAACAGGAAGUUGGAUCAAAAGUGGAGCAGCCAGGACUUAAACAGCACCUGUAAGGGAUGCUGGCAUCACAGGCAGCAGCUUAACCCACUAUACCAGAAUGCUGGUCCUGAAGAUUAAUUUCUUUAUCUGAAAGGCAGAGCCACAGAAUAGAGACACAGACAGAGAAGUCUUCCAUCUGCUGGUUCACUCCCCUAAUGCCCUUAGGUUCACUCCCCUAAUGCCCUUAGGUUCCUUCCCCUAAUGCCCUUAACAGCCAGGACUGGGCCAAAGCCAUAGCCAGGAAUCUGGACUCAAUCUGGGUCUCCCACAUGGAUGGCAGAGAAACAAGUAUUCAAGCCAUCAUCUGCCUCCCAGAAUGUGUAUUGGCAGGAAGCUGAAUCAAAAGCAUUGUAGCUGGGCCAGUGCUGUGACAACAGGUUAAGCAGCUGCCUGCAGUGCCAGCAUCCCAUAUGGGCACUGGUUCGAGUCCCAGCUGCUCUACUUCUGAUCCAGCUCCCUGCUAAUGUGCCUGGGAAAGCAGCAGAAGAUGGCCCAAGUGCUCUCUCACAUGGGUAGCAGGAACCCAACUACUUGAUCUGUCAUACGCUGCUUUGCAGGAUACGUGCUGGAAGGAAGUUGGAAUCUGGAGAAUUGGGAUUCUAAUCCAGGCAUUCCGAUAUGGGAUGCAGGCAUCCCAAGCAGUAUCUUAACCACUCGUCCAAACACCAGCCCUUUGUUGAGAUGAUUUGUUUAAUUUCUAUUUUUAAAUUUAUUUUCAUCCAGUUGAAGAAGCAAAGUAGUCACAGAGAGAUUAUACAGAGUAGUCACAGAGAUCUUCCAUCUGCUGGGUCACUCCCCAAAAUCCCUGCAACAGUCCAGGCUGAAGCCAGGACCCCAGAGUUCCAUCCAGGUCUCCCACAUGAGUGGCAGGGCCCCACGCACUCGAGCCGUCAUCUGAUGCCUUCCAAGAUGCCUUAGCAGGAAACCGAAUUGGAAGCAAAGCAGCUGGAACUCGAAGCAGCAUGCCAAUGGGAUGCCUGUGUUGCAAACAGCAGCUUAACCAGCUGCACACAGUGCCAGGCCCGCAUUGUAAUUUUGCCUUGCAUUUCCUGAUAUACUGAGCAUCUCUUCAUGGGUUUAUUAGCCUUUUGAAUAUCUCCUUUAGAGGGAGGUCUAUUCAAGUGUUUUGUCAUUUUUAAAUUGUUUUGUUUCUUUGUUGUUCAAUUUCAGCUCACUAUAUAACGUGGAUCUUAAUGCCUUAUCAUACAUAGUAUUUGCAAAUAUUUUUGCCCAUUCCACACACUGCCUUUCUACUCUGUUGAUAAUUCUUUUAGUGCAUAAAACUUUUUAAAUUUUGAUGAAGUUCAAUUUGUCUAUUUUUCUGUUUAUUGCUUAUGCCUUUGGUGUCGUAUUCAUGAACUCUUUGCCAAACCCCAGUGUCCUGAAGAUCCUUCCCUGCGUAUUCCUCUAAGAGUUUUACGGUGCUGGGCCUUUGACCCGUUCUGAGUUAAUUUGUAUAUGUGCUGUUGCAGAAGGAGCCACCGUUUCAGCCCCAUUUGUUGGAAAGUCCUUUCUCCACUGAAUGGAGGAGGGCUUGUUUCUGGGCUCUCUCCCCUGGGGUUCUGACAGUCCAUGCUCCUAGUCUCCUCCUGCCAUUGGGCUCCUCACUUCCUGCUUCCUUUGUGGGUUCCUCUUGGUCUGUCCUGGGCCAUGGAUGCUGUUGCUUGGCCCUAGGUGCUAUCAUUUCUCAUGCAGCAUGCUUUUGAGGGUUUUAUUUCUGCAUAUGCCUCUCAAGUCUCUCUCCUGAGCUUCCAGCUGAAGACCCCAAAGGCUAACUGAUGUCCUACAAAGCACGCGACUCUAAUAAGUCAUGAGCAGGACCCUUCACCUUCUCAGCCCUUCUCCCCUCAAACAGACCUGCUCCUCCACUCUCUCCCCGUCCAUCUUGUCUCCUAAGCCGGAAACUUGGGUUUUAGGCUGGACUUUUCCCUGUUCUUCACUCCCACGUCGAAUAAGUCGGCACAUCCUGCCAGCUCUACCUCCUACUUGGUCUCACAUUGUCCCUUUCAUGCUGCUGACUGGUUCAGUUGAGGUCACUCUACAACCUUUCUCUCCUGACGUGGAGCUACUGCUUCUUCCCCGAGCUCCUGCCUCCUCCUUUCACAUAUUCCGCACACCGGAGCCAGCGUGGUUCUCGGCACGUCUUUCUCCUUAAGAGCUUCCGUGGAGUGACGGCAGUUCUCUCAAAGGGAGCUACGGAGGGGACUGCUGCUCCGACCUCAGCUCCUAAAACUCCACUCCUCAUGAAUUUGUCAACUCAGCCAAAACCUCCACCACUCCGUCCUGUCAAGUCUUGAGCAGCGUUAGUUCUUCCCACUGGCUUUGUCAAUGAACUCAGCGAAUUCCCAUUCUUAUACCUGUCAGCUGAGAAGUCUCUUUCUCUUUCCUGACCCCCCAGCUCUGGUGUGGGAACCCCCUGUGCUCCUCCGUAGCACCCAGUGCUUACCCUGUCAGAACGGAUCACACACACAUACACACAUGUACACGCACACUUAUGGGCUCAUUUUUUUAACAUGCAACUUAAUAUCUUUAUUUUUUUCUUGAAAUGGAGGUAAUACCCCUGCUCUGUGAACUUCUAAUGAGACAAGGAUGAGAACCAUGUGGGAGCGUCCAUGCAAUCAGUAGGAGGGUACUGUCAACCCUCCUUAACCCCUCCACCCGCUCCAGAAUUCCUUAGCCCCAGGCCUGGGUUUGAGUUCAAUGUUUUCUUGUUGAGGAGGUCAGCAUUAGUGUUUUCUUCACGUUCACUCUCUCUCCUAUGCCUCUGCAGUGGGUUUCCCCCAGUGGGAAAUGUCCACACAGGGACAGCAGGUGCCUUUGAAGGCUACUUCUGGGAUGACAGGGGAGUGGUCUCCUUUGCCUGGUCCCCCCCCCCCCCUUCCCUGCAGAGCUUACUCCUCUGACCACUGCUCGGCAGCCUGGCAUUGUUUUUGUGGGCUCUGUGCAAACUGCAUCCAAUGGGUGGGUGAUUGUAGACAGCCCUCUAGGCCUGAGAUGGAGAGAGGUGUACUGGAGGAUUUCAGAGGUGUCUUCCAACUCAAGAUGCCCUAAAAUCCUGGACUCUGACCAGAAUCUAAGUCAUAAUGGAACCAAGAGAAGAAAGAAUGCAGAACCCUGAACCCGUCAACCAGAGCUUCACUGCUCCGCUGAGAGCCAUGCAGAAGAAGCUGGCUCGCCUUGUUCCCGCUCACCUUCUUCAUUCCGCUUCUCCUGUGGCUCCGGCUGGGCCUUCGGCUCCCUCCCUUCCUCCCAUCCUGCCUGAUGUCCCUCUGACUUCUCGGCCUCUUCGCCCUGGGCCUGCCUUCAUCACUAGUCGCUCAGACCCACCCGGUCCUCCUCCCACUUCCUGUCCCAACCAUCUCCCGCCUCUUCCCACCCUCCCGACUGCACGUCUCCCCACCUGGGUCACCUCCACCCUCGCCCGUCCCCCCACCUACCUUCCCCCUCCCCCUCUCCCUUCCAUCCGGCGCCCUUUCCGACUUGCUCCUCUCUUUUCCCACUCGCCUCCCUGUGCCCCUCCCCCCUCUCCUCAUCCCACUUCUUCCCCUGGCUGUAUGGACCUUGGGCCCAGAUAGGCUGUCCCUGUUCCUGCAAGGACACCCACCCCAGCCAGCUUCCACCACGACUGACGAUUGCCACAUUCAGUCAUGGCGUCCCAUGUCCCUACCUGUGAGUCACCCAGGACAUUCCAGAGCUCCUGGUGACCUGAUGGACAUGGUGCACACUGGAUGGUGACCAGCGAGCAUACAACCCAGAGGGCCACCUCCCUCAGCUCUCUACUAUAGCCUGGGAAAGCAGUAGAAGAUGGCUCAAGUCCUUGGGUCACUGCACCCAUGUGGAGGACCUGGAGGAAGCUCCUGACUCCUGACUUCAGAUCAGCUCAGCUCCAGCCAUUGUGGCCAUUUGGGGGAGUGGAACAGUGGAUGGAAGACCUCUCUGUAUAUAUAUCUACCUCUCUUUGUAACUCUGUCUUUCAAAUAAGUAAAAAAUAAAUCUAAAAAAACUGUUAAUGAAGAUUCUGUUGUUUUUCCAUAGGAGAUUCCAUUGGGAGUAAGACACAGAAAAACUACAAGUGGACUCUGAAUUCUGAUUAUCCCUGUUAAUCUCAUUGCAUCAGAUGCAGAGAGCCUUACGCACACACAGACACCACCGCACACAACAUUCGCAAACACCAUAACCCUGAUCAGCCAUGGAAGUGGGUGGCAGCUUUAGCCUGGUGAUGAUGUGGAUGGAACGCUCCUACCGAGUUAUGGUUUAUCCCUGCCUAUUUUAUGAAUUUCAUUUUGUUAUUUUAUUGUAUAUUAUUUUAAAGGCAAAGAGAGAAGAGCGACAAACAGAAAACUGCCAUGUGCUGGUUUACUCCCCCAAAUGCCCUCAAUGGCUGGAGCUGGGCCAGGCCAGAAGCCAGGAGCUGGGGGGUCUUAUGUGGAUAACAGGGACCCAACAGCUUGCACUCUCACCUGCGGCUUCCCAGUGCACAUUAGCAAGAGGCUGGAUUUCAAUAUUGGAUGCCUGUGUUACAGGUGGCAGCUUAACCCACUGUGCCACAAUGCCGGCCUCCCAAGUAAGGUCUUAACCACUACGCAUACACCCUCCUCCUCCCUGCCUUCUUAUAUAGCCCAAACAAAAUGAUUUAGAUCUACUUGUUUACUUCCAUAUCAUAUUUAUCGGUUGAGAUCAUUUAGCCAUGUGUACAUGUAAUCUUGGGACAAGGAAACGUUUUUAACCUCAGGAGCAGAGGAGUGAGCUAAAUAUACCCCUCAGUUCGCAGCUUGCUCUGGUCAUUCCCUGGGCAAGGCCCCUCGCCUGCUGUUUUUUCUUUUUCUUUUUUUUUUUUCUCAAUAGCAUACCCAUUUCCCACUUUCACUCCCCUCAUAAUACUCCCCCUUAAAACAUGUUGAUGUGUGCACGUGUGUUCUUGUAAAAUGCAGUGUUAUUGUGAGGACUGUGUUUUGAAUUGUUGUCCACAACAUUGUGUUGUAGACUUUAUUAUGUUUUCUACCUUUCCACCCAGUGUUCUAUGGUGAAGAUCUGUCUCUGUGAGUAUAGUGGUCAUCUGUGUUUCUAUUCUGCACUGCAGGUUUGGUAUCUCUUCUACAUAACACUCAUCCAUUUCCCCAGUGACAGACGGACAACCAGACUGUCUCUCUCUCCACUAUGAUGAACUUCCUUAUUGGCUGAGAGUAUUUAGUUGUUGUUGUAAAUGAGUACUGAAUUUGUUCAAAUUAUUUUUAUGCAUUUUUAGACAAUUAUAUGGUUUUCACCUUGUCUUAUUAUUCUUUGUUUCUUUUCUAGCCUUUUCUCACCUUGUUUUGGAUCCUUUAUUUUCAGUAUUGUACCUUAUCUUCAUUAGUUUAUUAGCUAAUUUAACUUUUUUUAUUUCUAGUGUUUAUACACUCUGUGUCUUAUUUAGCUCGCUCUUUAUUUCCUUGAGAAUGAGAGAGAUGCCUGCAAUGGCUGGGGCUGAGUCAGACCAAAGCCAAGAGCUGAAAACAAUCCAUAUCUCCCACAUGAGUGGCAGGGACCCAACUAUUUGAACCAUCACUCUCUGCUUCCCAGGGUGCACAUGAACAGGAAGCUGCAGUUGGGAACAGAACCCAGACUCAAACCCAGGCGUUCGGAUGUGGGAGGCGGGCAUCCUAACUGGUAUCCUAAUCUCUAUGCCCAACACCUACCCAUUCUCCAUGCAUCUGUAAUCACAGUCUACCUUCGAAUAAUAUUGUGCUACAUCUAGUAUAAUGAAAAAUGUACACAAUACCUUCCAUUUUUCCUAUAGUAUCUCAUUAUGGUUUGGUUUGCAUUUCCUGAUGGCUAAUAAAUAUCUUUUUAUGUGCUUAUUGCUCAUCUGUAUACCUUUGGAGAAAUGUCAAUUCAGAGCCUUUGCCUAUUUGUUUAAAAAUUCUAUGUAUUCAUUUGAGAGGCAGAUAGAAACACAGAGAAAAACAGAAAGUUCCUGUCUGCUGAUUCAUUCUGCAAAUGCCAUGAUGGCUAGGGCUGGGCCAGGCUGAAACCAGGAGCCAGGAGCUCAACCCAGGUUUCCUACAUGGGUGGCAGGGACCCAGCUAUUUGGACUAUCACCUGCUGCCUUGCAGGGUGCAUGUUAGCAGGAAGCUUGAGUCAGGAGUGGAGCUGGGACUGGAACCCAGGAACUCUGAUACGGCAGACAGGCACCCAAGCAGCAUCCUUCCACUACAUCAAAUCCCCGCCCCUGCCCAUUUUUAAAUUGAGUUGUUUAUGAUUGAGUUGUAAGAGUUCUUUAUGGAGGCCACAGGGGAGAAUCUGCUUCCUUGCCUUGUAGCUCCUAGAGGCUUCCCACAUUCCUUAGCUCAUGCCCAUCCCUGACUUGUCCUCAAAGCCACAUCAGUCUGACCAGUCUUGUGCAAUCACAUGGCCCUCUGAGCACACUCCUAAAGACCCACGGCAUUAGACUGGAUCUUAUCUCAGUGCCCCAGUAAUAUCCCUGAUAAAACCCAGAUACCCCUCAUGUCUAUCUCUUUUGCCAUGUAAAUUCUUUAUCCACAAGUUUGGGAUCAGAAUGUGGACGUCUUCAGGGGGACGUUAUUCUGCCGACCAUCCCAUCACCAUAAAUAAUGCUUCAAUAGACAUCCUUCUAUGUAUCCCUUUAAUGGACCUCUAUGCAUAUUUCGUGGCCUUGGAGUCUGCAUAUAAUUAGAACAGGUCGCGUUAGAUUGUACUCUAAAAUGGCUCCAUCAAUCUACUUCUCUACAGCAGAAUCUGAGGUCCCUUUACCUCCAUGUCCCUACCAUUAUUUGACAAUGUCCAACUUGGUCAUUUGUGCCCAUCUCUUAUGGGUAUAAAGUGAUGUCUCAUGAUUGAUUUAAUUUGCAUAUUAAUAAUAAUUAAAAGUUCUUCCUUGCCCUUAGUUCACAAAAAUAUUUCUCUUACAUUUUCAUUACAUUAUUAACUUUACAUUUUACUUUUCAAUUUUGAGUUUAUUAAACCACGUAAGGCUUUGUAUCUUGGUUUAUGUAGGGAUAUUUUUAAAAAUUUUAAGAUUUAUUUAAGAGGGAGGGAGGGGGAGAGAGAGAAAUCUGUCAUCCACUGGCUCACUCCUCAAAUGCCUGCAACAGCUGGGGCUGGGCUAGGCCGAAGCCGAGAGCCCAGAACUCCAUCUGGGUCUCCCACGUGUGUGGCAGGGGCCCAAACCAAGCACUUGGGCCAUCAUCCACUGCCUCCUCAAGAUGUGUUAACAGGAAGCUGGAUCUCAAGUGGAGUAGCCAGGGCUUGUAUCAUGGUUCAACAGGUUAAGCCACCACAGCGUAAUGGGACAAGCUACCACCUGAGACACCAGCAUCCCAUAUGAGCCCCAGCUGGUCUCCUGGCUGCUCUGCUGACAAUCCAGCUCCCUGCUAAUGGGAGAUGACCUACGUACUAGGGCCCUUGCCCCUCACAUGGGACACCAGGAUAGAGUUCUAAGCUCCUGGCUUAAGCCUGGCUCAGCCUCAGCCAAUGCAGUCAACUGGGGAGUGAAUAAGCAGAUGGAAGAUUCAUUCUCUCUCUCUUUUUUAUUUAUUUAUUUGAAAGGCAGAGUUACACAGAGAGAGAAGGAGAGGCAGAGAGAGAGAGAAAGAGAGAGAAAGGUCUUCCAUCCGCUGGUCCACUCUCCAAUUGGCCACAAUGGCUGGAGCUGUGCUGAUCCGAAGCCAGGAGUCAGGAGCUUCUUCCAGGUCUCCCAUGCAGGAGCAAUUGGGCCAUCUUCUACUGCUUUCCCAGGCCAUAGCAGAGAGCUGGAUCGAAAGUGGAGCAGCCAGGACUUGAACCGGCGCCCACAUGGGAUGCUGGCACUGCAGGCGGUGGCUUUACCCACUACGCCACAGCACCGGCCCCAGAUAAAUAAAUCUUUAAAAAAAAAAAUGCUGCUUGGGAUGGCCACAUCCCAUAUUGGAGUGCCUGGGUCUGAGCUCUGGCUGCACUCCCAAUUCCACCUUCCUGCCAAUGAACAGCAGGUUGGAAGCAGUGGCCUUAGCCCCAUCUUACCUUCCCCUCCACCUGGGCAUCCCUUGUAGAGUCAGAGGGAACCAAAGGAUUUGGGGGCCUGGAGCAGGGACUAUGGGAAGGGAGAGCUGGGCAGCUGCCUCGAGUAGUCAGAUCCCACGGCCUUGGCACAGUCCUCAGGCAAUAGAGUUUCCCGGAUAGGGGUCAGAGGCCCAGGUCAUAUCUGCUGUGCCUUUUUCUCUUUAAGACUUAUUUAGUUAUUUAAAAGAACCACAGAGAGAGGAUAAAGAGAAAGAGAGAGGGAGAGGGAGGGAAGGAGAGAGAGAGAGAGAGAGAGAGAGAGAGAGAGAGAGAAUCUUUCCACUGGUUCACUCCCUAGAUGGCUGCAAUGGCCAGGAAAUGGGUCAGGCUGAAGCCAGGAGCCAGAAGCUUCAUCCAUGUCUCCCAUAUAUAUGACAGGGGCCCAAACUACACUUGGGCUGUCCUCCACUGCUUUUCCCAGGUCAUUAGCAGCCGGAACACGAGCCAGCACCACAUGGGAUGCCGGCGCCACAGGCAGCAGCUUUACUCACCAUGCCACAGCGUCAGCCCCAUGUUGUGCCUUUUCUCCCCUGCCUCUUGGCCAAAGCAUCCUCCUUUGGGUCACUUAGAACCCUAUUUUUUCUCUCCCAGGACUAAGAACCCUCUAGAGAAUGAAAACACAGGGGACCAUUUUCAAACUGACUUUAAUCAUUUUUUUGCUGCCCAAAUACUGUACAUGCAGAAGCCAUGUGAAGAAUUUUCUCCUCGAAGGAAUUGGCAAGAACGUUGUACAAAACAGCUGGCAGUCCCUCCCAGCUGUGCACCUGCCACCCAGGAACCACAGAAAGAUGCUGCACAUAGAAAAUGUAGAGGGCACGGAUAGAAAAGGCUAAUUGCUUCUUAUCUAAACAGUGUGCUUGUCAGCCAAUAUCAGCGAUCUCUGUCUUUGCAGGACGCAUUUGGAAAUUCUGAACAAGGGGUUCCUGCCUCCCGUGAGCUGCCACGCUAAGGAGCGGAUAGAACCAUCAAGUCUGCUUUCCCUAUGGAAACAGCCACUCUGCCUUCAGAGACGGUGCUGGUAAAAGACCUUCUGCAGGGACGAGUGGUUUUGAGACGCAAAAUACUUGGAAGGGGUGGGAGUUCCCUCUCGCCUGCCGUCUUCAGCCCACCCACUGGAGUCAUCUAUAUUAGAAAUGAGGAACCGCACGCUCACUCGGAAAGCAGCUGAAGUUGUGACAAUCACUUCAGCACCUUGAAAACUGUCCAUUGUACGCAACCCUUAAUUACUUCUCACAAGAAUAAAGGAGGGGAACAAACCACAA